rnacentral:rRNA from 1 species
UACGUAGGGUGCGAGCGUUGUCCGGAAUCAUUGGGCGUAAAGGGCGCGUAGGUGGUGGCUUAAGCGUGCGGUGAAAGCUCGGGGCUCAACCCCGAGUCGGCCGUGCGAACUGGGCUCACUGGAGCAUAGUAGAGGCAGGUGGAAUUCCGGGUGUAGCGGUGGAAUGCGCAGAUAUCAGGAGGAACACCGAUGGCGAAGGCAGGUCUCUGGGCAUUAACUGACGCUGAGGAGCGAAAGCAUGGGGAGCGAACAGG